CCUACGGGUGGCAGCAGUGAGGAAUAUUGGUCAAUGGGCGCGAGCCUGAACCAGCCAAGUAGCGUGAAGGAUGACUGCCCUACGGGUUGUAAACUUCUUUUAUAAGGGAAUAAAGUGUGGCACGCGUGCCUUUUUGUAUGUACUUUAUGAAUAAGCAUCGGCUAACUCCGUGCCAGCAGCCGCGGUAAUACGGAGGAUCCGAGCGUUAUCCGGAUUUAUUGGGUUUAAAGGGAGCGUAGAUGGGUUGUUAAGUCAGUCGUGAAAGUUUGGGGCUCAACCGUAAAAUUGCAGUUGAUACUGGCAGUCUUGAGUACAGUAGAGGUAGGCGGAAUUCGUGGUGUAGCGGUGAAAUGCUUAGAUAUCACGAAGAACUCCGAUUGCGAAGGCAGCUUGCUGGACUGCCACUGACAUUGAGGCUCGAAAGUGUGGGUAUCAAACAGGAUUAGAUACCCGUGUAGUC
rnacentral:rRNA from 1 species